AAAGUACUCCCUCCAUCCCAAAAUUCUUGUCUUAGAUUUAUCUAGAUAUGGAUGUAUCAAGUCACAUUUUAGUAUUAGAUACAUCUGUAUCUAGACAAAUCUAAGACAAGAAAUUUGGGACAGAGGGAGUAGUUG
rnacentral:pre_miRNA from 1 species